GCAGGUGUGAUGUAACGGGCAACAUGAGGCUCUCGUACAGCCUUCAUGCAGGUUCAACUCCUGUCGCCUGCUCCA
rnacentral:tRNA from 2 species